CAGUCGCCGCGGGAAUACGAAGGGGGCUAGCGUUGCUCGGAAUUACUGGGCGUAAAGGGCGCGUAGGCGGACAGUUCAGUCGGGGGUGAAAGCCCGGGGCCCAACCUCGGAAUUGCCUUCGAUACUGGCUGUCUUGAGUAUGAGAGAGGUGUGUGGAACUCCGAGUGUAGAGGUGAAAUUCGUAGAUAUUCGGAAGAACACCAGUGGCGAAGGCGACACACUGGCUCAUUACUGACGCUGAGGCGCGAAAGCGUGGGGAGCAAACAGGAUUAGAUACCCCCGUAGUCCCUGUCUCUUAUAC
rnacentral:rRNA from 1 species